CUUCCGAUGAGAUUUUGUGCUACUUCCGGCAGCGUAUGUAUCCGUUAUUUUUUACAGUCAUUGAUCCGUUCUAGCAACAACCGUCAUGGAUAUGUUUUAUUUUUACGAGUGGGUCGAUAUCAAAAGUAUUUUGAUAUUUCUGUGUGUCUUUUUAUUACUGAGCGAUUAUAUAAAAAAUAAAGCGCCGAAAAACUUUCCUCCUGGACCCUGGUCUUUGCCAUUUAUAGGAGACCUUCAUCAUAUCGAUCCAAACAAGAUUCACCUUCAGUUCACAGAGUUUGCAGAAAAAUACGGCAAGAUUUUUAGUUUUAGACUAUUUGGAUCAAGAAUUGUAGUGUUGAAUGGAUAUAACCUGGUGAAGGAAGUGUAUACACAACAAGGUGACAACCUCGCUGAUCGACCCACAUUACCCAUAACUUCUGCAAUCAUUGGAGACAAUAGAGGUUUAGUGGCCUCCAGUGGAUAUAAAUGGAAGCAUCAGAGGAGAUUUGCGCUCACGACACUUCGAAACUUCGGAUUGGGAAAGAAAAACCUGGAGCUGUCCAUUAAUUUUGAAUGUGGCUUUCUGAAUGAGGCCAUUUCAAAUGAACAAGGUCGACCCUUUAACCCUCGCUUACUUUUGAACAACGCUGUAUCAAAUGUGAUCUGUGUGCUGGUGUUUGGUAAUCGCUUUGAAUAUAGUGACCAUCACUUCCAGAAUCUGUUAAACAAAAUCAAUGAAUCAGUGUAUCUGGAAGGAAGCAUCUUUGUUCAUCUCUAUAACAUGUUCCCGUGGCUCAUGCAAUUGCUGCCUGGACCACACAAGAAACUUAUUACUCUGUGGCAGAGGGUGACUGACUUUGUUCGAGAGAAGGUGAAUGAACACAGAGCGGAUUAUGAUCAAUCAAGUCUUCGAGACUACAUUGACUGCUUUCUAGCUGAGAUGGAAAAGCAGGAACUGAGACCACCUCCACCACUCUGUACUGGGGUCUUCUCUACAUGAUAAAAUAUCCUGAAAUACAAGCUAAAGUUCAGCAGGAGAUUGAUGCCGUUGUUGGAAGCUCACGGCAGCCAUCUGGAUCAGACAGAGACAACAUGCCCUACACCAAUGCUGUCAUUCAUGAGAUACAAAGGAUGGGAAACAUUAUCCCAUUAAAUGUGGUCAGGACUACUUCGGAAGAUACUCGGAUAGAAAAAUACUCCAUUCCAAAGGGCACUCUUGUGAUUGGCAGUUUGACAUCAGUGCUGUUUGAUGAGUCUGAGUGGGAGACGCCUCACUCUUUUAACCCGGGUCACUUUCUGGAUGCUGAGGGCAAAUUCAGGAGGAGAGAUGCCUUUUUACCUUUUUCUCUAGGAAAGAGAGUGUGUCUUGGGGAGCAGUUGGCGAGGAUGGAGCUCUUCCUCUUCUUCACCUCUGUGCUGCAGCGCUUCACUUUCUCUCCACCAGCGGGUGUGGAGCCCAGCUUAGAUUUUAAAAUGGGGUUCACUCGCUGUCCCAAGCCAUAUAAACUGUGUGCAGUUCCACGCUAAAUUAGAAAAUACACGUGCAACUUCAAACAUUUCAGAAAUUUCAAGAAGAAAUGAAAAAAAUAAAAAUAAAAAUUUGGUGAUUUUUAUAAAAUACAAACCUAUUUACAAAUAAGUCUCAAACAACGGGAUUAUGGGGAAAAAUGUUGUUCAAAAACCCAAGAUGAAAGAGAGAGAAUGUUUUGCAAUGCAUAAAAUAAAAAUAAAUAAAUAAAUAAAUAAAAUAAA